AAGAGAUGGACUGCGGGAACCUGGGAUGUAAGCGGACAGAGUCAGCUGAAUCAGCUCCAGACAUGGGCUGAAGGAUCUCCUCAGAUAGUGGGAUGGAUUGAAGUGAGGGCGCUCCCGAGCAUGAGGGAUGGAUCAGAGGGAGUUCCUGAGGUCGAGAGACCAUCCGACGAGGGAUAUCCCUAGGGAAGGUGUCAGACUGAGAGCGAUGGACUCUCCGUGUCAGAGGCAGAGACAACGUCUGGUGAGGAGCCACAGGGGAACAUUGAACAACAGAUGGAAACCAGGCUGAGGUAUCACGUGUUGAAAACCACAGAUGCAAAUUCACCCACUAACAGAACUGAGAGGAGUUCCUGGAAUAGGGUGCUGAGCUGAUACGGAGAGUGAGACAGAAAGGUGGGGGGGGGGGAGGUGAGAGAGGGUCAGAGAGAUGCCCAUGUAGUUUGUGGGGCUGAAUAUUCAGUUUCUCUGCAAAAUAUUCCAGAUUAUUCACUCUGCUUCUGUGGCCAUUGCAGUUCCAAUAGGAACAUCCCUCUGGUUAAU